CCCUGUCACGUGGAGGCCGUAAUAGUAACGAGUGAGUAAUUGGGCAAAGCGAAGGUUUCGCUCGACGCGUUUCUGAGGCGAUUGUGGAGAAGGGAGGGCAAGGAAAGAAGAAGAAGAAAAAAGAAGGAAAUAAUAGCGAGUCGGUGUGCGGAAUUGUUACAUGAUGAACAUUAUAUAGAAAUGUACGAAGUUCGAAAGUAAGAGGGGGGCAAUGUGAACGUGGUACUACUAGAAGUUGAACUGAAAUCUCAUUCUGAGAGAAAAAAUUGACAACUGACAACAACACAAAAGUCGACAGAAGCGAAGGCUCCUGUGUGCACAACAGGGCUGGACCAAGCAGAGGACACCCCCGUCCACGCCAGUUGGAGGGGCUGUGGAAGAGCCGUCACCUGUGGAACUCGACAUCUUCAGGCAGGUCACAGGGUCACGUGGGCCUGAAUUCAGCAGGGGUCCAAGGUACAAGAAGGACAAAUGACAGGGCUGCGAGGCGGCCAAAUCCACACAUUCUUCACUGUUAUACAGAUCAUUAGGAGUAAAUGUUGCUGUAGCUGGAGAACAACUCACUGCAAAGUUCUGGAGGAGCCGUAGCACAAAGGCACAGGAGCCCAUUACCUGGCAAGCAUAAGGUUGGCGCUGGGGUUGUUGGUUCCAGGCCCUGUAGGGCUCCACUU